UGGGGAAUAUUGCACAAUGGGCGCAAGCCUGAUGCAGCCAUGCCGCGUGUAUGAAGAAGGCCUUCGGGUUGUAAAGUACUUUCAGCGGGGAGGAAGGGAGUAAAGUUAAUACCUUUGCUCAUUGACGUUACCCGCAGAAGAAGCACCGGCUAACUCCGUGCCAGCAGCCGCGGUAAUACGGAGGGUGCAAGCGUUAAUCGGAAUUACUGGGCGUAAAGCGCACGCAGGCGGUUUGUUAAGUCAGAUGUGAAAUCCCCGGGCUCAACCUGGGAACUGCAUCUGAUACUGGCAAGCUUGAGUAUCGUAGAGGGGGGUAGAAUUCCAGGUGUAGCGGUGAAAUGCGUAGAGAUCUGGAGGAAUACCGGUGGCGAAGGCGGCCCCCUGGGCGUAGACUGACGCUCAGGUGCGAAAGCGUGGGGAGCAAACAGG
rnacentral:rRNA from 1 species